GCCCGCUUGGCUAAGUGGUAUAGCGUGUCACUAGUACUCCUAGAUGUCAUGACAAGAUCAGCGGUUCGAUUCCGCUAGUGGGCA